UACGUAGGUGGCAAGCGUUGUCCGGAUUUACUGGGCGUAAAGAGCGCGCAGGCGGUCGUGCAAGUCGCGUGUGAAAGCCCCCGGCUCAACUGGGGAGGGUCACGCGAUACUGCUCGACUUGAAGGCAGGAGAGGGAAGUGGAAUUCCCGGUGUAGCGGUGAAAAUGUGCGAGAUCGGGAGGAACACCGGUGGCGAAGGCGGUCCUCUGGGCGUUACCUGAC
rnacentral:rRNA from 1 species